rnacentral:rRNA from 1 species
GUCGCAGCCGCCGCGGUAAUACGGAGGGUGCAAGCGUUAAUCGGAAUUACUGGGCGUAAAGCGUGCGUAGGCGGUUUAUUAAGUCAGAUGUGAAAGCCCCGGGCUUAACCUGGGAACUGCAUUUGAAACUGGUCAACUAGAGUAUGGUAGAGGAAAGUGGAAUUUCUGGUGUAGCGGUGAAAUGCGUAGAUAUCAGAAGGAACAUCAAUGGCGAAGGCAGCUUUCUGGACCAAUACUGACGCUGAGGUACGAAAGCGUGGGUAGCAAACAGGAUUAGAUACCCCGGUAGUCCACGCCGUAAACGAUGAUAACUAGCCGUUGGGGGGAUUUACCCCUUAGUGGCGAAGCUAACGCGUUAAGUUAUCCGCCUGGGGAGUACGGCCGCAAGGCUAAAACUCAAAGGAAUUGACGGGGACCCGCACAAGCGGUGGAGCAUGUGGUUUAAUUCGAUGCAACGCGAAGAACCUUACCUGGUCUUGACAUCCUGCGAACUUUCUAGAAAUAGAUUGGUGCCUUCGGGAACGCAGUGACAGGUGCUGCAUGGCUGUCGUCAGCUCGUGUCGUGAGAUGUUGGGUUAAGUCCCGUAACGAGCGCAACCCCUAUCCUUAUUUGCCAGCACAUUAUGGUGGGAACUAUA